AAACCAACUGGGAUUACCUUAGUAACGGCGAGUGAAGCGGUAAAAGCUCAAAUUUGAAAUCUGGUACUUUCAGUGCCCGAGUUGUAAUUUGUAGAAUUUGUCUUUGAUUAGGUCCUUGUCUAUGUUCCUUGGAACAGGACGUCAUAGAGGGUGAGAAUCCCGUUUGGCGAGGAUACCUUUUCUCUGUAAGACUUUUUCGAAGAGUCGAGUUGUUUGGGAAUGCAGCUCAAAGUGGGUGGUAAAUUCCAUCUAAAGCUAAAUAUUGGCGAGAGACCGAUAGCGAACAAGUACAGUGAUGGAAAGAUGAAAAGAACUUUGAAAAGAGAGUGAAAAAGUACGUGAAAUUGUUGAAAGGGAAGGGCAUUUGAUCAGACAUGGUGUUUUUUGCAUGCACUCGCCUCUCGUGGGCUUGGGCCUCUCAAAAAUUUCACUGGGCCAACAUCAAUUCUGGCAGCAGGAUAAAUCAUUAAGUAAUGUAGCUACUUCGGUAGUGUUAUAGCUUUUUGGAAUACUGUUAGCCGGGAUUGAGGACUGCGCUUCGGCAAGGAUGUUGGCAUAAUGGUUAAAUGCCGCCCGUCUAAAA
rnacentral:rRNA from 1 species